GUCCCAUUGUAUUUGCUCCCUAUGUAAUUUAAUCACUGGGACCUUUACAUUUCUUCUUAGAGAAAUCCAUUACAUACCUUGAUCAAGAGGAGAUGACUCUGGAAACUUUCAUUUGGUUUGUAAUAAUGAGUAAAGCAUUAAAUAAAUACUUCUUUAGAAUUUUGAAUUUAGAAGGGAUUAGGCAUAGUACAUUAAAAUAAAAGCAAC
rnacentral:lncRNA from 1 species